rnacentral:misc_RNA from 1 species
CACCGAACUGGGAUUCUACCUUGAUCGAGGUCACAUUUCAGAAGUUGCGUGUUUAACGGCUGUGGACGCGCCGCGCUCCUACUAGAGUGUGCAAACUACUGCGCAGGAGAGGCUGCGGCGAGACCGCCACUGUAUUUCGGAGACGGCCACCGCCAAGGCAGGGCCGAUCCCCAACGCCGACCCCCCGGAGGGGUUCGAGGGUUGAAAUGACGCUCGGACAGGCAUGCCCGCCAGAAUACUGGCGGGCGCAAUGUGCGUUCAAAGAUUCGAUGAUUCACUGAAUUCUGCAAUUCACAUUACUUAUCGCAUUUCGCUGCGUUCUUCAUCGAUGCCAGAACCAAGAGAUCCGUUGUUGAAAGUUUUGAUUCAUUUUCGAAACGCCUACGAGAGGCGCCGAGAAGGCUCAGAUUAUAAAAAAACCCGCGAGGGGGUAUACAAUAAGAGUUUUGGUUGGUCCUCCGGCGGGCGCCUUGGUCCGGGGCUGCGACGCACCCGGGGCAGAGAUCCCGCCGAGGCAACAGUUUGGUAACGUUCACAUUGGGUUUGGGAGUUGUAAACUCGGUAAUGAUCCCUCCGCUGGUUCACCAACGGAGACCUUGUUACGAUUUUUACUUCC